CAUAUUUUUAGACAUUACAAGUAGAAAAAAAAAAAAAAAAUGAUCACCAUUUCUCCUUCUUCUAUUCUGCCGGCGCAGCUGAUGAGAUAGGGUUCUGACGACUGAAGUUCGGCCACGAGGAUCUCGUAAAAACUAUAGAGGGCUACGAUCUCCACGUGUCCCUCCGCCACAGGUGGCUGAAGGAGUGGAUGCGAAACAUUAAGACGGCCCUACAUAUAACGACCCAACAUAUAACAACACUUUUAAAAAGUAUCGGUAAUUUAGUCAGCAGCACUUUCUUUUACUUGUACUGACAUUUAAAAAUAUCACUAUAUACCGUUUUAAAUGUCGCUAUAUACCGUUUUUGUUAUAUUGCUUGCACAUAAGGUUGUAGAGAAAUAUAUAAAUAACGGCGAAAAAAUAACAAAUAGAGAAUGAU
rnacentral:lncRNA from 1 species